rnacentral:rRNA from 1 species
UGCCAGCAGCCGCGGUAAUUCCAGCUCCAAUAGCGUAUAUUAAAAUUGUUGCAGUUAAAAAGCUCGUAGUUGAAUUUCUGCUGCAUUGCUUGUGUCCCUCUGGGGUCUGUGCAUGUGGCUUUUAUCGGACGGAGUUUCUUUGUCUGAAUGUUUACUUUGAGAAAAUUAGAGUGCUCAAAGCAGGCUUUCGCCUUGAAUAGUUUAGCAUGGAAUAAUAAAGUAGGACUUUGGUUCUAUUUUGUUGGUUUUAGGUACCAAAGUAAUGGUUAAUAGGAACAGUUGGGGGCAUUCGUAUUUAACUGUCAGAGGUGAAAUUCUUAGAUUUGUUAAAGACGAACUACUGCGAAAGCAUUUGCCAAGGAUGUUUUCAUUAAUCAAGAACGAAAGUUAGGGGAUCGAAGACGAUCAGAUACCGUCGUAGUCCUAACCAUAAACUAUGCCGACUAGAGAUUGGAGGUCGUCAGUUUUUAACUACUUCAGCAA